GGGUGCGAUCAUACCAGCACUAAUGCAUCGGAUCGCAUCGGAACUCCAAAGUUAAGCGUGCUUGGGUGAGAAUGGUACUAAGACGAGCUUUGUCACAGGACUUCCACAAACACAGGCA
rnacentral:rRNA from 1 species